AUCUAAAGCUAAAUACUGGCUGGAGACCGAUAGCGCACAAGUAGAGUGAUCGAAAGAUGAAAAGCACUUUGGAAAGAGAGUCAAAAAGUACGUGAAAUUGUUGAAAGGGAAGCGCUUGCAACCAGACCUGCCCGUGAGUGAUCARCCGCCGUUCUCGGUGGUGCACUCGCUCGCGAUCAGGCCAGCAUCGGUUCGGGCGGUCGGAUAAAGGCCUUGGGAAUGUAGCUCCCCUCGGGGAGUCUUAUAGCCCUCGGUGCAAUGCGGCCAGCUCGGACCGAGGACCGCGCUUCGGCUAGGAUGCUGGCGUAAUGGUUGUAAGCGACCCGUCUUGAAACACGGACCAAGGAGUCUAACAUCUAUGCGAGUGUUUGGGUGUCAAACCCAURCGCGGAAUGGAAGUGAACGGAGGUGAGAACCCUUUAGGGCGCAUCAUCGACCGAUCCAGAUGUCUUCGGAUGGAUUUGAGUAUGAGCAUAGCUGUUGGGACCCGAAAGAUGGUGAACUAUGCCUGAAUAGGGUGAAGCCAGAGGAAAUCGUGGGGAGGCUC
rnacentral:rRNA from 1 species